GGGGCUGUAGCUCAGUUGGAAAGAGCGCGCGGCUGGCAGCCGCGAGGUCGGGGGUUCGAGUCCCCCCAGCUCCA
rnacentral:tRNA from 1 species